rnacentral:lncRNA from 1 species
AAUUAAUCACGCUUUAUUAAUUAAUAAGAAAACUUGGUUGAAGUUGCGCGAACGCAUCCCUCGAUUUAUUUUUUAGAAUUAAAUUCGUAAUUCUGUUAUGCGAACGUAUAUAUAAUCACAAUAAUAGUCUAAGCCAUGCCUAAAGCAAACUAACAGUGUUCAUUAUUCUUCCUAAAAUUUGAGAUUAUUGUGAGGCUUAAGAGUUAUACAUCCUUCUGACUUAGCACCACUCAUGGCAUAUUAUUAUUCCUUGCCAAGAAAGAAAUAACUCCAAAUUUUCCAUCUACCCAAAUUAAAAGCAUUUAUUCGAGAACCAAGACUACGUACAUCACAAUCGAAAUAAAAACUAAUUAAAAUAAUUUAAUUUCAAACUAAGUCAUGCCACUCAAACAAUGUAGAAACAAAAAUCAACCAACACACGCACCAAGCUAUUGUAAGAACAAUGAAAUGAGAAUAAAAAUUGAGAAAUAGGCCUUUUAUUGAUGAACAAAACUAAAUAUUGCAAAUCAAUCAGGCUGAACAAGGCAACAAUCUUGAGAUUGAAACAUCAAAAUUAAGAAUCGGAACCUCAAAUCGACACAGGAGAGCUCGAAACCCAAAUCGACCUCAGAUAAACUAGAACCUCCAAACAUCUGACAAAGCAGACCAUCUCUUAAUAUUUUUGCUCUUUAAAAUGUUUACCACUGCCGAAAACUUUGUGAACAGGAUGUUCCCUACCAAAAAGCCGACGAACUUUAGACUUAAACCACGACGUUACGGGAGGAGAUGACGUUGUUUUCUUAUCGUCAUCAGAAUAAGAAAAAGACGAAGAAGAGUGAUGGUUAUUAUUACUGAGAUAAAGUGUUUCAGUGAUUUUAUUUUUUAUAGAUUCUCUGGCUCAUCCGAUUUCUCCACUUUACACUCCUCGUGUUCCUACAUUAUCAGUAAAGUAAAACCCAAAUCUUGAAAUUCAGUCAAGUUAUGUGUCUAUUGUAUCUGAGAGAAAAAGUUGUAAAGAUUCAUUUUUGUGUGUUUGUAUUUCUUUCACUUUUUAAUUUUUUUGGAACAAAACAAGGAAAAGAUCAUAGAAUAAAGAUGAAAAACCUUAGCAAUCCUGUCGUUUUUAGUGUAGCUCCUAAGUCUAGGUAUUGAAAACUUAGGGUUGGGUUCCUAUAAUUGGGUAUUUUAUAUGGAGGUGGAAAGGGAUGAUGGCAAUUGGAUUAGAAGGGAAUAGAUGGCUAGGAUUAAAUCUUGCACUUAAGUGGGCUAAUGGGUUGGGAAGAAUGGGCUAAGGGUAAUUGGGUUGGACCAUGUCUUUUGGAUUUGAACUUAGGCUAAAAAGACCAAAUAAUACAAUGUAUCUAUAAAAAUGUAAAAAUCACUCUAAAUUAAAAUAAACUAAUAUAAAACUAAACACUACGAGUGAAACUAAUUUUUUGUAUUUUCAAAUGUUAUAAUACUAUAAAUAUAAAUAUACUAAUUGACUUUAACCUAAAGAUGAAAAUAUUUAUUUUAUUUUUUUUNNNNNNNNNNNNNNNNNNNNNNNNNNNNNNNNNNNNNNNNNNNNNNNNNNNNNNNNNNNNNNNNNNNNNNNNNNNNNNNNNNNNNNNNNNNNNNNNNNNNNNNNNNNNNNNNNNNNNNNNNNNNNNNNNNNNNNNNNNNNNNNNNNNNNNNNNNNNNNNNNNNNNNNNNNNNNNNNNNNNNNNNNNGUAAUUUUUAUUUUUUGUGAUAAAAUAAAGUAAAAGAGUCAAAACUAUUUAAUAUAAUGAUAUUAAACCUAAACUAAAUAUUUUACGCUAAAACGUGUAAAAUCUUGGGGAGGGUCAAAAAUUACAUGUCUACAGACUAGGAAUAUUAUCCUUCCAACCAUGUUGUAGCCAAUUCUGAUAGUAUUCAUUCUAGGUCCAAUGACCUCAUCUCAUCCAACACAACCACUCUAAUGACAUGACACAUCAAUACAGUCCAAAGCCAUAACCUGUGCAACUCGUGCACCCAAUAGCAACAUCCCCAAAUGUACUCAAAUCAUGAAAAAAAUGACUCAAACGGGAGGACUAUCCCGCAAGCUUAACAAGUACUGCCACAAUGAAAUACUGUAAAUUCAUCACACCCCGUAGGACCAUCACACGAAUCUAACACAGGUUCAUACCUCAACAUAAUUUUGCUGCAAUGUGUGCCCCAUCCAAACACUAAUCCAUGGCAUAUACCUCAAGCCACCUUGCUCAAAAUCAAUAACCACGCGCAACGACAUCAAGUACUCAAAGUGCAUUACCAUAACCAUGGAGAAGCAAAUGACAUAACACCACAUGAAACCCGAAAGAGCAUAACCAAUAUGCUAUACAUCAAGCGAUAUCCAAUACUCUUCUCGCUCAAAUCCGUUAUAGGACUCCAAUAGAACCACACUAUAUGUGUAUACAACCAACAAAUCAUGACCCCUCAUAAUAUAGAAGAGUAGCUCAUAGAUCACUCCAGAACACGAAUAAGCUCAACAAUAAUCGAAUGGCACAUCCCUCAAUAAUAGCAAUUCAAAGUCAACAAAUCUGACCCGGUACAGAACACACCUCCAUGUUGGGCCUACCAAUGAACCCCAAAUCUACUCUGGUCCCCCACGAUAGAUAAAUAACCCUCUGAAAGUCUAAAUGACUGAAUCACAACAUAUACUAACCUCUGACUAAACUUGGAUACUUUUUACGGUCGACAACCACGAAACAAUCUACUCACCAGAACUCUCAAUCUCUAAAUCCAUAGAAUAUACGAAUCACCAUCUCUGAUCUCAACUCCACCGCCUAAAUGCCCAUACUUCUCCAAUUACACAGUCACCCCACGAGGAAUACUUCUAGAAGUCUUCUAUACCACAAAGCAAAAAUUGAACUCCAGCAGUCGAUCAAACAAGAGAGUGUCGCAAUACCAAUAAAGUAUCCAUAACUCCCACACAUCGCCCUUUCUGAAAUGUAUAAUCUCAUUAAGCCAUACCAGUUAGUAAUAUCAUUUACCUAGUCAUCAGAAAUUGUCCAUGUUGCUUAAGAAUUUAUGACCUUCCUUUCAGAAUUGAACUGUGACCUUACACAUGCAAAUCCCAACCUUACACAACUUACCACAUAUACCAUGUCAUCCCAUGAUAAAUAUGAGAACUUCAUAAUCCACUUCGAGUCACAAGCAACUAAGUACUCAACUAGCCAAGAACUUUUCAUUUGACCCCAUCUAGGAGAAGAUCACUACACAUCACAUGAUCCUCACGCCAGUAGAAGAUAUACCUCUCUAACCAUGGUAGAAACCACCAAGAACUCUCUGAAUCCCAUUUGCUCAAAACCCAACCGUCAGGAUUGAAUCCUUCUACCCCAACCAAGCUACACAUGUCACCAAAACUCAAGCGCAUCACCACGAAACACAUGUAGAAACUCAUUACCUCAUAAACACCCAAAGAACUAAUCAUACCCAUUACCAUGUCAAUCCAACCUACUACCAAGCUAUCCUAUUUAUUCGAGUUCCUUCUGAAUUGCAUUCACAUUGAUACUUCUCCUCACCAUAAUACCUCAAUCCUCAAUCCAGACUCACCACAUGAGACCCUAACAUAAACCACACUGCCCUAAGGCUCAUAAGCCGCUGAAUGCUCUCUUAAGCACCCCAAAAGUACCACAAUCGAGAUACUCACUCCAAAGAGACCUUCUAUGAAUUUCAAGUUGUUCAUCUUACUUUCUUGAUACUGAAAUGUAUAAUCCACAAUGAUGUAGAAACACUGCGAGCCUCGACACUAUCCAAUGUAACUCUUAGCUUCAAGCCACAUACGAACCCCCAAAAAUUCUCAAUUGCCAUAUAUAAAUAUUGAAUUCAUUAGAACCAUUCUCGAGAGUUAUCCACUCUGCUUAAAUCUUGAUUAGACAGAUCAAAUGGGCUAAUCGACCUUAGCCCCAUUAGCACUCCAACACCCAAGGAUGUAACCCCACCUAAAUGCAACCAGAUAAAUUUCUGCUCCACGAACAUUAUAUCCUUAACCAAUAAGAACUCAAAUCAUUCCAUGAUUCUCAUAUACUCAUAUAAUCUAAUAAAACUCAUACCCAGAAAUUUCCUUUACUCGAGUCAUCCUUGAUCUCAACCUCUGCAAGUCAUAACUGAUUCACCAGUAUACCUCAAACUGAAACUAAUAUGACACUUAGUCGUGCAAUCAACUUAUCAAUAGUAGACUCCCCCCUUGGAUAAAAGCCAUAGAUCAAAACACACAAAAACUCACAAUGUCCAUACUCUAUUACUUCCAUAAUACCAUAGUGAGAUUGAACUAAAUCCUUCAUAAGCUUGUUCAACACAACCAUCUAGUACUUCAAUCAUCUACAAAUCUCGCAUUUACCCUCGUAAUAGUCAAGACAACUCUCAUACGCGAUCCAAACUCAAUCUGCAGCAUAUAUAAUUCACUGGUAAAGGAAGACUCGCUACAAAAGAGCAUAGGGAUCACACGCCCUCAGGACACCCUACAGGAGAUAACCCACCUACUUUGCCUCAAACUAACAUCUCUUUAUACCUUUCCACCAUCAUAAACAUCACGCAAUCACUUAAUAUUCCUGAGUCUGAACUCAUAUCAUGACAUAAAAUCUACUUCGUUCCCCAACUAAACAAUAUGAAAAGAUCCUUCAACACACCCAUAACUCGGGGCUAUUCAUCAAAUCAAGAUGGAAAUCAAGAACCAAAUAGUUCUUUCUACCCUCAAGAAGACCCUCCUCAUCACAUCCAAAUCAUAUGAACAUAUCUCGCAGUCACAUCAUACUCAUCACGUAGCCAUCCAGUCAUUACUUCCACUAAUAUGGACACUACCGAACAUAUAAAUCCAAAAGCACGCUCUCACACAAUCAACACCUUAGUGCUCAAGCUAGAGGCAAAGCCCGGACCCAAGUCAUCCAGACUGGCCCAACAUCAACACACAAAAAUCACAUCUCGCCUCUCAUUUAGGGAAUCACAAGCCGUCGAUGCACAGCUGAUACCAAGUGCUCAUGCGCGCAUAUGAAUGCGUGGAAGGAAUUUCAAGAGUUACAUUUCAAGAUGAAUCAAUGCCGCACGACAAGAAUUUCAAGAAUGUGGGAUUUCCUAAAGGUUUUGCAGCCUCUCAAAGAUAGGUACAGACGUCUUUGUACCAAUCCGUGAGACUCUACUAAACCUUUCAUGACUCGUGAGACCUAUGUAACCUAGGCUCUGAUACUAACUUGUCACGAACUAAAACUAACCCUAUCGUGAUGGCGCCUAAAGUGGUACUAGGCAAGCCGAUACACUACCAAACCCAAUCACUAUUUUUAUUUUUAAGACAAAACCAAAGUUAUUUAACAAUAAACCAGCAUAAGGAGCUUAAAUCAAAACAACAGUGCGGAAAAAAAGCCCGACAUCAGGGUAUCACUAGUCAUGAGCAUUUACUACAACCGUCUGACAACAUCAAGACUAACAUAGCCUAAAAAUAACUGAAUACAACUAAGGGAGGAUAAAGAGGGAGAAAAGUAGGGCUGGGAUUGUCAGGCAGCUACCUUACUAACUCUGAUGGACCGUCCAUUGAUUAAUCAACACCCGCUAUCGGGUUUAGAAAUACCCGGAUCUACACACAAUGUGCCGGGAGUAAUGUGAGUACAUCAACUCACUAAGUAAUAAAAGUAAAUAGAGACUGAGCAGUAAAACCAUUUAAAACAUCUUUCAACAGUCUUCAAUGAAGUGAUGAAACAGUGAGUAAAAAUGGUGAAAACAUAUACAGCCCCUUAGGCAAAACUCACUCGUAUAUAGCCCCUCGGCAAACAUCACUCGUGAACAUCCCCUCGGGCAAACAUGAAUCAUAAACAGCCUCUCGGGCAAACCUCACAAUCACUCAUAUACAGACCCUCGGGCAUUACUUCAUAUCACUCGUAAACAGCCCCUCGGGCACAAUAUGAAUCAAGAACAGCCCCUGGGGCAAAACAUCGUAUCACUCACUCAGGGUACCCAUGCUCACUAGGGCUGUACAGACUCCGGAGGGGCUCCUACAACCCAAGCACUAUAACAAGUGACCUCGUGGAAUAAAUCAAUCAGGCCCUCCUUUUUAUCACUCGAGGGGUAUAUAAGAGAGUUUUUCCAAUUAAAGUGACAUAAAUCGAAAUGGAAUUAUUUUAUUUAUUUAUCAGAGUCUCCACUUAGAAUAAUUUAUUUGGUGUCCCAAGUCACCGGUUUAUUUUAAAUCCUAAGUCGAGGAGAAUUUGGACUUUAUUUAAAAUCUGCAAAACCAGAAAUUCUAGAUAAGGAAUUCUGUUAACAUGGAGAAAGUGUUAGGCAUUUUCGAGUUUCAUAGUUCGAGCACGGUCGCUUAACUAUUAAUAAUUGGCAUAUUAUCUAAUUUAUUACAUGUUUUAAACCUAGUGUGCAUUUUUAAAUUUAUUUAUUUAAAUCGCUUUUUAGGAUAUAUGGAAUUUAUUUUUUUGAACAAGUUACGAUUAUCGUACACUUGUCAUUUUGGAACAUACCGCAAAACACGCCACAUGAAAUGCACCCGUGAUUCGCGAUAUGUUUAUUUUAUUAUUGUUCAAAGUUGUUAUGAUCGGGUCACAUGAAGUGCACACCUGAAUUUGGGUUAGGUAUCAUGACUAUGCCACGGGAAUCGUACCCACAGUCACGAUGAUUUAUUAAUCGCGCCUAAAGCAAGCUACGAUGUAUUUAUUUGGUCCUAAAUUGAAUAUGUAGUUUAUUUGGUCCUCGAGUUGUCUUAUAUUUUAGAAUUUAUUAGUAGUUGGAUAAGGAACUCAUUUAGCCUUUGACUUUUUAACCUGAAGCUAUCUUUGGCUUUUCUGCAUUGUGUUCCACCAAAUGGUUGAUUGAAGUCAAGCGCAAGAGCCAAAUGUAUUUGCAUUUUCAAAUAAUAUCAAAACACAUCCAAGGAAAGGAAGUAAGGAAUAAAAAGGGAAACUAUGCCAUGUUCAUUAUAAAGGGUUAUGUGUACAGAUUUACCAACCCUAAGUAUCUCACAGAAUGAAGCUAAAGGCAAAAAAAACACAGUAUCUUAUAAUCGAGGGAAAUCGCAGAAAAACAAAGCGAACACUUGACGAGCUGUGAAAGUAUAUCAUACACAUAUGUCAUCAAACACAGGAAUAAAAAGCAAAUCCAUCUAAUUAGCUUUCAUCAAACACAGAAAUAACCAAAACAUGCAGCAAAUUUAAAAUAAAAAGUAGCAGACCGGUACUUGGGCAGAACGAACAAAAUAGCUUAUCAUAGCUAAAGCACAUGUCAUAGGUAUAAAUUAUAUAUACUGUUUUUCAACAAACAAACAACCACAUUAAGACCACAUCCUUAGGAAUUGAUUAAGUGCUACUGAUUACUAACAACAUGAGGACAUUGAACAGGGUGAUUUCAAACCAUUAUAUGCCUAUUUGUAUUAAUUUGUUACCGUUUGAAAUAAGAUCUCAAAACACAAACAAAUCGUAUAGCAUUAUUAGGAAAGGAUAAUUGCAUAGAUACAACAAUAAUCAGAAAUUCAUUGAAGACAAAAGGAAUUCAUUCAUUUUUUGACUUAACGGUGGCGUAAAUCACAACAAAGUACCUGCGUGUGUAGAUAUCACCUCCAAAACUCCAACUAAAGGCUAGAUGAGAAAUGAGCUUAGCACAGCGGAAAACCAAUAGAUCCGAACAAGGAGCAACAGCAAAUUUUCAACCAUAGUAGCAUUUUAAAACCCAGAAAAAUAGAAACAAACAGUAGCGGUUUGUUCCAGCCUUGGAGCUCGUCAGCGAGGGAAGCUCAGGCACAAGAGGGAUUUAUAGGAGGAGAAAUUGAAGUGUUGAUGGCUGUUUUUGGGACUUUUUGGUAUAGGAAUUUCAGUUGGGUUUUCAGAGCUUUUACAUGGGUUUGGGGCUGAUUUGAGCUCGAGUAUUAGAGCUGAAAAUGGUGGUGUUCGUGGUGUUCUAAGAGAGGUCCAUGGCUGAAAUUUUGGGCUAAUCCCAUCCCCCUUUCGUUUUUCUUUUCCCGGAUCCCCUCUCUCACUGUAUCGUCCUACCUUCCUCUCUAUCUAUGUGUGUCUUUUUUCAAUUGAAAGAAAGAAGCCAUCUCAAAUCAGAAGGGGAAAGAGGCUGAGGUACUACCGCUAGAAGCUAAUCUCAGAGGAAAGGAUUUGUUGUCUUUGCUCUCUGUUAGAAGUGAGGAAGAAGAAGAUGGGUGAGCUAUUUUGGAAGAUGAUGAGGGAAUGCAGAAGAAGGGGAAAAGCUGCGCUGUUUUGGGUGUUAGGGAUCUCCUCAAAUAAGGUCUAUUAAUGUGUGUUAGGUCUGGGGAUUUAAGGGUAAAAAUGGG